AGUGAACGUUGGCGGCGUGGAUUAGGCAUGCGAGUCGAGCGAGAACCGUAGCAAUACGGGGACAGCGGCGAAAGGGACAGUAAUAUGUAGGUACCUACCCUCGGGUCCGGGAUAGCUGCGGGAAACUGCAGGUAAUACCGGAUGACAUCUCCGGAUCAAAGGUGUGAUUCCGCCCAGGGAGGGGCCUGCAUCCUAUUGGCUUGUUGGUGGGGUAACGGCCCACCAAGGCGACGAUGGGUAGCGGGUGUGAGAGCAUGACCCGCGUCAUUGGGACUGAGACACUGCCCAGACACCUACGGGUGGCUGCAGUCGAGAAUCUUCGGCAAUGGGGGCAACCCUGACCGAGCGACGCCGCGUGCGGGAUGAAGGCCUUCGGGUUGUAAACCGCUGUCGUAGAGGAGGAAAUGCAGGGGGGUUCUCCCCUCUGUUUGACCUAUUCUAGGAGGAAGGACGGGCUAAGUUCGUGCCAGCCGCCGCCGUAA
rnacentral:rRNA from 1 species